rnacentral:rRNA from 1 species
UACGUAGGGGGCAAGCGUUGUCCGGAAUCAUUGGGCGUAAAGAGCGUGUAGGCGGCCCGGUAAGUCCGCUGUGAAAGUCCAGGGCUCAACCCUGGGAUGCCGGUGGAUACUGUCGGGCUCGAGUCCGGAAGAGGAGUGUGGAAUUCCUGGUGUAGCGGUGAAAUGCGCAGAUAUCAGGAGGAACACCUGUGGUGUAGACAGCUUACUGGACCAUCACUGACGCUGAGGUACGAAAGCGUGGGUAGCAAACAGG